UCCAUUCUAAAUCUUGAAAUUAUGAAUUAUUUCUACAGAAAAGUAGGCCUGGAAAAAUCAUGAAUUUAAAUUCAUUUUUAAUUCAUAUUAUUCAUAUCAUUUAAAAUUUAAAUACAAAACAAACAAAACAAAAUCAUACAAAAAAACCUAACCAAAUUCUUUCGUUUUUAACAUUUUUUCCAUUAUGGUUAUCGCUAAGAAGAGCUCCAGAAAAAACACACACGCAAAGUAUCGACGACAAAAAUACGCCCCCACCACGGCCAACGGCUUCUUCAACUUUCUGAGAGAGUUCAAAAUGUCACACGUCGGUCUGCAUCCCCAAUUGAUGGUUACGCGUGGGGCGAAGGCAUGGGGAAGACUAAGUGCCAAAAAUAAAACCGCCUAUAAACACUUGGCAAUACUGGAAGAGAUCGCCCUUCUUAAAACCCACUUUAGGUCUCUCGUUAAGAGCAAACCUGGGUGCACAAGAUCGAAGAAGAAGGCAAAGUAAAAGUCCCGAUACAGACGGCAGCACAAAUGUUUAGCCGGGUUCAAGGAGUAAAAAUUCAGUGUAUUUAAUUUUGAACUUUAAACAUUUUGGUCAAGGAAACUCUCUCUGAAUAUAAGUUAUAAAUAAAUAAA